UGUUCUGUGGCUUAGUUGGUUGAAGCGCCUGACUAGCGAUACGAAGUCGUGGGUUCGAAUCCCACUCAAGCAU
rfam:Aedes albopictus isolate Foshan contig116021, whole genome shotgun sequence.